UCGAGAAUCUUCGGCAAUGGACGCAAGUCUGACCGAGCGACGCCGCGUGCGGGAUGAAGGCCUUCGGGUUGUAAACCGCUGUCAGUUGGGAGGAAAUCACAUGGGGUUCUCUCCAUGUGUUGACCUAUCUUCAGAGGAAGGACGGGCUAAGUUCGUGCCAGCAGCCGCGGUAAGACGAACCGUCCAAACGUUAUUCGGAAUUACUGGGCUUAAAGGGUGCGUAGGCGGCCCUGUAAGUUGGGUGUGAAAUCCCUCGGCUCAACCGAGGAAUUGCGCCCAAUACUGCAGGGCUAGAGGGAGACAGAGGUGAGCGGAACUUGUGGUGGAGCGGUGAAAUGCGUUGAUAUUACAAGGAACACCUGUGGCGAAAGCGGCUCACUGGGUCUCUUCUGACGCUGAGGCACGAAAGCUGGGGGAGCGAACGG
rnacentral:rRNA from 1 species